rnacentral:lncRNA from 1 species
CACCUACAUCGACUUCCUUCUCUUUCUCUGGUACGUCAGUCCUGUGCUUCUUCGGAGUUCUUGGUUUCUCCUCGAGGUUGGUUAGCUUCCUCUUCUUCUUCUUCUUCUUGUCAGGCUUAACAGACGAAUCAGCCAUCGUUGAGGCCAAUUCUUCGUGCUCCAGAAGCAAUUUUGAUUGAUCAAUUUUGCUUCUGGGUAACUUGAAAAAAUGGUUAUGCUCGUGGCUGCUAGGGUUUUAGUUCUGCAACAGAAACGGCGCCAAAACAUGCGUUUUGAUUUUG